rnacentral:misc_RNA from 1 species
GAUGAAGAACGCAGCGAAAUGCGAUAAGUAAUGUGAAUUGCAGAAUUCCGUGAAUCAUCGAAUCUUUGAACGCAUAUUGCGCCCUCUGGUAUUCCGGAGGGCAUGCCUGUCCGAGCGUCACUAGCACCGCCCGAGCCCCCGGCUCGGUGUUGGGGACCGCGGGGCAGCACUCCGGUGCGAGCCCCCCCGCGGCCCUGAAAAUCAGCGGCGGCCCCACCGCGGCAAGCCCCCCAGCGGAGUAGAGACUUUUCCUCGCCCGGGAGCGCCGCGCACCCGGCGGGCCCGGCCACCAGGCGGGACGACCCCCCCGGCAACGGGCGGCGGGCGGACCCCCGAACCCCCCCAUAUCACCCGGUUGGCCUCGGGUCGGACAAGAUUACCCGCUGAACUUAAGCAUAUCAAUAAGCGGAGGA